GAUGAACGCUAGCGGGAGGCCUAACACAUGCAAGCCGAGCGGUAUUUGUCUUUCGGGACAGAGAGAGCGGCGUACGGGUGCGGAACACGUGGGCAACCUGCCUUUAUCUGGGGGAUCGACUUUCGAAAGGAAGAUUAAUACCCCAUAAUAUAAUGAAUGGCAUCAUUUAUUAUUGAAAACUUCGGUGGAUAGAGUUGGGCACGCGCAAGAUUAGAGAGUGGGUGAGGUGACGGCUCACCAAGUCGAUGAUCUUUAGGGGGCCUGAGAGGGUGAUCCCCCACACUGGUACUGAGACACGGACCAGACUCCUACGGGAGGCAGCAGUGAGGAAUAUUGGACAAUGGGUUAGCGCCUGAUCCAGCCAUCCCGCGUGAAGGACGACGGCCCUAUGGGUUGUAAACUUCUUUUGUACAGGGAUAAACCUACUCUCGUGAGAGUAGCUGAAGGUACUGUACGAAUAAGCACCGGCUAACUCCGUGCCAGCAGCCGCCGUAA
rnacentral:rRNA from 1 species